CCAGCCCAACUACAACAACUUGAUAUAAGCAUUACUGUGCCCAUCAACCAAUUUUGCUCAGAUGGUUGGUCGGUUGUGGCGGAGGCGUGGUGGUUGAUGGCUCCUCCUCCCUUUAUGAUUUGAUAGGCAGGGCCUUUGUACAAAGUCAUAACCAUAGCUCCUGAAACGGUUACAACCGUUCCAAUUACUUUGGCUACGCUGUGAAAUUUUCUCCAGUUCACUGACUCUAAC
rnacentral:lncRNA from 1 species